CUCAAAGUGGUGACUGUAGCCUGGCAGAAUGCCAGCAUUCCUGGCAGUCUUGGACACAUCAUUUGUAUGUGUGUGAGUGUGUGAGUGUCUGUGUUUGCGCGUGUUUGUGUGUACGCUCGCUUAGCCGUGUGUGCGUAGGUGGAAAUGGUAAUAUUUGAUUUCGCACAUUAAUUUGUGUUUGUCACAUAUUAGCAAAACACAUGUUACUCUUACCAAAAUCAUAUGCUCGCACACUUGCAAUUACUCCCACAAACACACACAGGGGUGAGUGCGGCAGGUUCUCUUGCUGUCAGGUCUUGCCCAUUCAUCCACACAACUUCCCUGUGGAAUACCACAUAAUGAGUCCGUGUCAUGUAGGUACACAUAACUUGAAGUAUACAUCUACAUUCAUCACAUGCAUAAUGCAUGUACACAUUAUUAACUUUUAUCAUUAUGCAUAUAUACAUAAUUAUACAAGAGUCUAAUCCUUUACAUGAGUGAUCAGUCAUACAUACAAGGGCUGAGUUCAGAGCCAUUAACACUAAAACAUUUUUUUAAAGGAAAUUGUAUUUGAAAAUGUAUUUUUUGGGUUACUAAAUGUGUGUUUUUUGGGGUUGUUUUUUUUACACAAACAUAGAAUUUAUAUUGGUUCAUAAUGUUUUUUUGUUUUAUUAUUGUAUUAUUAUUAUUAUUAUUAUUAUUAUUUUUGUUAUUAUUAUUAUUGUUAUUAUUAUAUCCACCAUCAUUUCCACCACUUUCUGUCUUUUCCAGCUUUAGAUAAAAUGGAAAUAUAUAUAGCUUUUAUCUUUGGUUUUUAUUCAGGAUAUGAUGCGAUAGCAUUUUGGAAAUUCUUUAAAUGUAAACAGCAAGCAAAGCAAAUAAUAAGUGAUUUCUGAUGAUAUAUUUAGAGGUCUAUUCAUGGCAACUGUUACAUGGCAACAGCACAUUAUAAACACAAUCGUGCAACAUAUUUAAACCGAACAGACGCUGGAUGUUUCUUUGGCCCGUACUUGCGCUGCAGGUGCAGGUGGCACUCCUCAGGCAGUCAGAUGAGGCCAGACAAGAGUCUGCAAGAAAGAGCCGAGAGGUGGAUGUGGAGAGAAGAAAGGCCCAGAUGCUUCAGGAGGCGUUACACAAGGAGCAGGAGAAGCUGCAGAGUGCUAUCAGAGAGAAUGAGACCCUGAGCACUGUCAUCGGAAAGCUGAGGAAAGAGCUGGAGGAGCUGCGCAGCAGUCACCGAGUGACAGUGGAGGAGUUGGCAGCCCGUGCAGAGGAGGUGAGGCGGAUGGAGGGGUGUCUGAAUGAAGGCAAGCUAGCAGAGGAGAAAAUAAGGUCAAUGGCUGCGGGGCUGAAGAAGGAGCUGACAGAGGCUGUCCAUCAGAAACUCACAGCAGAGAGAGAGAAACAGGAUGCACUGGACCAGAUGUCUUCAGGAGGCUAAUGACACACUGAAGGCGGAGGUAAAGAGACUGAAAGAAGCGGUGGAUGAGAAGGAGAAAGACAUGGAACUCUUCAAGGUGAACAGGGGCAGAGUGGAAAAGCAAUGAACUACAAAUAAGGAGAUACAAGAGAGAGUCAAUCAUAAACAGGUUUGUUUUUUAUAAUUGUUUGCAGGCCCGUCUCCGGGACUGGGGAGUACAGCAAGAAAGGAAAACGUGAGUCAUCUACAUAUAUGUGGGCACGUGUAUGUGUGUGUGUGUGACCACACAUUUAAAGGCAUACGUUUGUUUGCAUUCAGC
rnacentral:lncRNA from 1 species